UUCUGAAAGCCACCUUUUGGGUAUCCCAUGGAAGUCUCUGCCCGGAGCCUGAACCCCCAGGAGUGGCCGAGGAGGAGAGGAAGAGCGGCUCCUCGUCCCGUCCCACAGAAAGCUGGAAGCUGCAGAUGGUUCUCCCGCCGGAGAGAGAAGCAGCGAAGAGAAAUCUCUGCAGAAGACAAUUGCCCAUCGCUUGGGAAGAAAUAAGUUAACGCCUGGCAGAGCCGCGGUGCGUUCUCGCUGGGCAGCGGGAGGGAGGAGGAAAGACACGGAUCCUGCAACGCCACCAGAGGCGACAGCAAAUGCUAUUUAUAUUAAGCCAUGAGAGAUUAGUCAAUUUCACACACCCUUAGGAAGUUUUUGCUAGCGGACGCCUUUGCAUAAAUGGGAUUGCUCUUUUCUUUUUCUUUUUCCCUUUUGCUUGCUUUUUUAAAAAGAAGGGCAAGCGUAGCAAGUACCACGAGCAACGUUUUUGGGAUCCUGGCUCAGGAUAUCCAGAUCCAUCCAUGUAUUUAUUUAUUUUUUUAAAAAAAUCUAUAAUAUAUACUCAAUAAAGCUUGAUUCGCUUAAAAAAGAAAGCACAAGUCAUUUGACUGCAUAGCAUAAACGGUGUGUGAGAAAGAGAGAGACUAAGAAUUCGUAUUUUCUUUAUGUCCCCGUCUUUGACACACCCACCCACUCACUCUUUCUUUAAAAAAAAAAAUGUGCUGUUUUCAAACGCCUCUGUGUAAAACAAUUAAAAAAAAUUUUUUGGCACCGAUCCAUUAAAACGAAUAAGUCUCACUUAUUUUGGUGAGAGUUACGCAUGUGCUUAAGCAGGGCGGAGGCGCUAGCAGUCCCAGACAAGGACGGGUGAUUUACAGCAAGACAAAUCCUCUCCCGGCCCCACCACCCUUUCCCCCUUCCUUCGGCACUGGGAUGGUUUCGCAAGAGACACAAGGGGCUUUCUCUUUUGUCUAGGACACAAAAAGCAAAGGCAUUUCUGGAUUCCAAGACAGACAUCCGUUAGAGCAGGCGGUGGAUUCGAAAGAGACCCCCCCCUCCCUUGGCACGCGUUGGUGGUGUGGCGCGCCCCUAACUGCGCCUUCCCUUCCAGCAGGGUCUCCGGGGGUUCCUUAGCAAAAAGUGGGGCUGUCAACGAUUAAAAACAUCUUUUGUUGCUCGA